UACAGAGGUCUCAAGCGUUGUUCGGAUCCAUUGGGCGUAAAGGGUGCGUAGGUGGCGCGCUAAGUCAGGUGUGAAAUUUCGGAGCUUAACUCCGAAACUGCAUUUGAUACUGGCGUGCUUGAGGACUGGAGAGGAGACUGGAAUUCAUGGUGUAGCAGUGAAAUGCGUAGAGAUCAUGAGGAAGACCAGUGGCGAAGGCGGGUCUCUGGACAGUUCUUGACACUGAGGCACGAAGGCCAGGGGAGCAAACGGG
rnacentral:rRNA from 1 species